rnacentral:rRNA from 1 species
UGGCGCACGGGUGAGUAACGCGUGGGUAACCUACCUUCGAAUUGGGGAUAACGUUGCGAAAGCGACGCUAAUACCGAAUAACAUCCAAUUUUCUUCGGAUUUUUGGAUCAAGGGUGGCCUCUCCAUGGAAGCUACUGUUUGAAGAUGGGCCCGCGUACCAUUAGCUUGUUGGUGGGGUAACGGCCUACCAAGGCAACGAUGGUUAGCUGGUCUGAGAGGAUGAUCAGCCACACUGGAACUGACACACGGUCCAGACUCCUACGGGAGGCAGCAGUGAGGAAUUUUGCGCAAUGGGCGAAAGCCUGACGCAGCAACGCCGCGUGAGUGAUGAAGGCCUUCGGGUCGUAAAGCUCUGUCAAGUGGGAAGAACCUAUAUAAUGUUAAUAUCAUUAUAUACUGACGGUACCACUGAAGGAAGCACCGGCUAACUCCGUGCCAGCAGCCGCGGUAAUACGGGGGGUGCAAGCGUUAUUCGGAAUCAUUGGGCGUAAAGAGCACGUAGGCGGCCUGGUAAGUCAGAUG